rnacentral:rRNA from 1 species
ACCCGCUGAAUUUAAGCAUAUAAGUAAGUGGUGGAAAUUAAACCAAAUGGGAUAUCUUUAGUAAUUGCGAAUGAACAAGGAUAUGCUUAGCUUGACAAAUGGAGCUAUUGGCUUUGAAUUGUAUUGCGGAAAUGUAUUACCAACAGAGGUGCAGGUGCCAGCCUAUUGAAAUAAAGCGUCAAUGAGGGUGAGAAUCCUGUUUGUCAUGUGCAGCCCUUUGUGCACGGUGUAUAUUUGCUGAGUCACACUCCUUGGCAUUGGAAUGCAAAGUGGGUGGUAAGUUUCAUGUAAAGGUAAACAUGCAAUUGAGACUGAUAGCUCACAAGUACCAUGAGGGAAAUAUGAAAAGGACUUUGAAAAGAGAAUUAAAUGAGUUUGUAUUUGCUGAACACAAAGUAAACAGACUUGAUUUGCUUGGUGGGAGUGUUGCACUUGCUUGACAAGAGCUUUGGGCUGUGGGUGUAAUGAUUCUUUCUUUGCAUGCCAGUUUCUAUUUGUACAUCUGAUUACCUUUGCACAUGAAUGAUAAGUCUCCUGUGGGGGGUGGAUUGCAUGUGCAUGUAAUGAUUUGUGUUUUGAUAAAUGUGUCUGGUGUAUGUGUGUGUUCCUGUGCUUGGGGAUGCUUCCUUCCUUGGACUUACAAGCCCUGACACACACAUGCUGGCAAAAUGCUUCUGCUUGACCCGUCUUGAAACACGGACCAAGG